UACAGAGGUGGCAAGCGUUGUUCGGAAUUACUGGGCGUAAAGGGCGCGUAGGCGGUCGGGCAAGUCCUGUGUGAAAUCCCUCGGCUCAACUGAGGAACUGCACGGGAAACUGCCUGACUUGAGUUCGGGAGAGGGAAGCGGAAUUCCGGGUGUAGCGGUGAAAUGCGUAGAUAUCCGGAGGAACACCGGUGGCGAAGGCGGCUUCCUGGACCGACACUGACGCUGAGGCGCGAAAGCUAGGGGAGCAAACGGG
rnacentral:rRNA from 1 species